rnacentral:rRNA from 1 species
UUCCUACGGGAGGCAGCAGUGGGGAAUAUUGGACAAUGGGCGAAAGCCUGAUCCAGCCAUGCCGCGUGUGUGAAGAAGGCCUUUUGGUUGUAAAGCACUUUAAGCGAGGAGGAGGCUACUUGGAUUAAUACUCUAGGAUAGUGGACGUUACUCGCAGAAUAAGCACCGGCUAACUCUGUGCCAGCAGCCGCGGUAAUACAGAGGGUUGCGAGCGUUAAUCGKAUUUACUGGGCGUAAAGCGUGCGUAGGCGKCUUUUUAAGUCGGAUGUGAAAUCCCUGAGCUUAACUUAGGAAAUUGCAUUCGAUACUGGGAAGCUAGAGUAUGGGAGAGGAUGGUAGAAUUCCAGGUGUAGCGGUGAAAUGCAUAAAAAUCUGGAGGAAUACCGAUGGCGAAGGCAGCCAUCUGGCCUAAUACUGACGCUGAGGUACGAAAGCAUGGGGAGCAAACAGGAUUAGAUACCCUGGUAGUCCAUGCCGUAAACGAUGUCUACUAGCCGUUGGGGCCUUUGAGGCUUUAGUGGCGCAGCUAACGCGAUAAGUAGACCGCCUGGGGAGUACGGUCGCAAGACUAAAACUCAAAUGAAUUGACGG